CCUACGGGAGGCAGCAGUGAGGAAUAUUGGUCAAUGGGCGGAAGCCUGAACCAGCCAAGUAGCGUGCAGGAUGAAGGUGCCACGCAUCGUAAACCUCUUUUGCACGGGGACAACACCCGCCACGUGUGCAUGUCUGCAGGUACCGGGCGAAUAAGCGCCGGCUAAGUCCGUGCCAGCAGCCGCGGUAAUACGGAAGACGCGAGCGUUAUCCGGAUUCAUUGGGCUUAAAGGGAGCGUAGGCGGGCGUUCAAGUCAGCGGUAAAAUCCCGGGGCUCAACCCCGCCCCGCAGUUGAAACUGGAAGCCUUGAGUUGACAACAGGCAGGCGGAAUUCGUGGUGUAGCGGUGAAAUGCAUAGAUAUCACGAGGAACCCCGAUUGCGAAGGCAGCAUGCCGGGGUGCGACUGACGCUGAGGCUCGAAGGUGCGGGUAUCAAACAGGAUUAGAUACCCUUGUAGUC
rnacentral:rRNA from 1 species